UACGGGGGGGGCAAGCGUUGUUCGGAAUUACUGGGCGUAAAGGGCUCGUAGGUGGCCAACUAAGUCAGACGUGAAAUCCCUCGGCUUAACCGGGGAACUGCGUCUGAUACUGGAUGGCUUGAGUUCGGGAGAGGGAUGCGGAAUUCCAGGUGUAGCGGUGAAAUGCGCAGAUAUCAGGAGGAACACCGGUGGCGAAGGCGGGUCUCUGGGCCGAUACUGACGCUGAGGAGCGAAAGCGUGGGGAGCGAACAGG
rnacentral:rRNA from 1 species